UUUGCUUCGGCAGCACAUAAGAAAAUUGGAACCAUACAGAGAAGAUUAGCAUGGCCCCUGCGUAAGGAUGACACACAAAUUUGUGAAGUGUUCCAUAUUUUU